rnacentral:lncRNA from 1 species
UUUUUUUUUUUUCAAUCUCUAAAGCAGAGACACCUACUAGCCUGAGACAAUAUACUGACAAAAAUUUAGUAAGCAGCUUUUAACCAUUCUUUAUAAGGAUGGAAGAAUCACUAUGUCCUGCUUCUUUUGAUUAAGGAAAUAGGAAUGAGUAGAUUUGUUUUGUGGUUUCUUUUCAGAAGAAAGAAGAAACAUAUCUGUGACAGAUUUGUAUACGAGGUAGGGAAGUCUUGUUCCAAGAGAAUCUGGCAGUCUCACAAACUGCAAGUUUGGGUCUUUAUUAUCCUUUAGACACAUUUGAAUUCUGUCCAGGUCUUCCCCACCCUGGAAACUUCCACUUAGCCUGAGUUUGUCCCCUGGCCAUACACAGAAACUCCUUUAAAAUGAAACUGUCUUUCUGUCUCUUUUCUCAAUUCAGAAGGCAUGGGAGAAGAAGAGGCUUCUUUUAAUAUACUGAAAAUAACACUGACUUAAAAAUUCUGAAUCUAAAUGUAGUACCUCAUUUUUCUGUUAGUGGAAUUCCAGACAUGUAAAUAUUGCAGAUACCUAAAUUUUUUUCACCAUAAGCACCAGAUCUUUUUAAGAAUGUAACAUUUUUGAUUGAAUGAAUUCUCAAAGAUAUUGCCACUUCUCUUUAAAAACAGAGGAUACGGGGUAAUAUUCGAUGAUUCAAUCUUUCAAAUAAGCACUGUUGAUGGUACUGUGUUGUAAUGAUAAUAGCUAGAGAUUCUGUGGUUCCUUGCUAUGUUCUAAGUGCUGUACAGCAUUAAGUUAUUUACUUCUGCAUUUACUUACAUAAAACUCUGUGACACAGGUACAGUGAUUUUCUCCAUUCACAGAGAGGUUGAGAAACUUGAUGAGCCCGUAAACUAGCUAACAGUAGAGCUGGGAUUCAGACCCAUGCAGCAGAGUCCAGAAUCUGUGCCUUUAUCCACCACAUAAUGCUUUCUCUAUAUUUCUAAAGGUGGAUUCCCCCCCACCCCGCCCCACCAAGGAUUGUGAAAUUUGUUUGCCCUGCUGCUGUGCAUUUUGAGUUAUUACAUCUGCAUGUUAAGGUAUUCUUAAGCUUCCUUGCUGUCAUCUACUGUUUUUCUCCAUUUUUACUCUUACUGCCUUUCAAUUUGCUGCUGUUCAUCAGAUUUGAGCUUGAGAAAUCAGAAUAAAAAAGCUUCUUGGAAUAGCUCAUUGUCACUAAGAACCUAAUAUGUUCUUUUAUGUGAAAAGUGUAUGAGCCUUAGUACAUGAAUCUGUGGAUUUUUAAAAAAAUUCUCUGCAAUAGCGGUUCUGGAUAAGGAAGAAAAUCCAAUAUUUUGUCAGAGCCUAGUAAUAAGAACAACAGCAAUAGUUAUUUGUUGAGUAUCUACAGUCAUACUGCAUGAAAUACUUAACCUCUGUUACCUCUUUUCAAGCCUUUGCCAGCUGCUAAAGUGGGGACUAUAUUCCUUAUAUUCAUAGAGUCAGGAAGUAGGGCUCUAAGAGGUUGAGACUUGCCCAGAUUUACUCAGCUAAUAAGCAAAGAUUCAGGUCCAGGACUUCCCAGUUCCAAAGCCUUGCUUUUCUUAUUCUAUUCUUUUUGCCCUAAGCAUGACUGUAUUUUCUUUAGCAAACCUUAUUUCUAUUUAGGAAAUUUUGCUAUUGUCAGCUUAAUCACUAUGUGUGUUUAAAAGUAUGUUUUGAAGUGUAAACUUAAGGUACAAAGUUGUCAGAGGCUUUAUAUUAGGAACAGUAUAAGACAAUUUUUGAAGGGUUGUUUUAAACCUUAUUCAGUGAUAUUUGUAAUUCUAAUAGCAAUGAGUUGAUGGAUUAGAGUUAGACAUAUCUUAAGUCUAGAAGUCCAGCUAGCCAUUGUUGUGAUGGGGCAUAAAACAUGGAUUAGGACAAGGAAAUAGGAAUGAUGAACAAGAGACCAAGCUAAGGGACAUUUUGGAUAUGAAAGGAACAAAAGUUAUGACCAUAAUAGGGGGUGGUGAUGAAGGAAGAGUCAAGGAUAUCUUUGAAGUUUCCAGUUUAUUUGAAUUAAUGAAAGAUUUUAUGCCCUGAGAUGUGGAAUAUAAAAGCUAUAACAGCUUUUGAGAAGAAAGCUGAGUUUUAUUUUAAACAUUUUGAGUGUUAUGAACUUGUGGGACAUCUAGGAGAAAGUAAAGUGCUUGGCAGACAUCUGAAAAUAAGGAACCAAUUUUCUCAUUAUCUUUAUAGUUAAUAGAGAUUCUACAGGUUCUUGACGAGCAACUUCAUGGUGUUUUUGAUGGAAGUAGAUUGUCAUAUGCAUCAAACCCUCUAGAAUCCUCUCUCCCCUUUGCCUUUCUUGAAAUCACUCAGAUUUUCCUCUAGAGAACUUCUUUUUUCUGUUUUCAGCUGAACUCUUUCAAUAGGACUAAUACACCUGCUGCUCAGUAGGUGAGCCUUGAAGACUUAAUCUCAUCACCACUUCCAUUCUUGACUUCUCAGGAUUGAUUUUUAUCAGUUAGGAUGUUUUGGGUUGCAUGUAAUAGAAUAUCUAACUAAAAGUGUCAUAAGAAACAGGAGGUUAUAUAUUCUCCCCACAAAAAGAUUUCUAGAAGAAGGUGGCUCCAAGGUUUUUCCAUGGUUCAACAAAGUUAGUUUCUGGACCAACCUCUCUAAGAUUCCCAUGGUUGCAAGGUGACUGCCACAGCUCCAGCAAUUACUUCCUUAUAUAAUAACAUCCAAAGAGGAGUAGAGAGAUUAGAGAUGUUUACCUACAUCUGUCUAUUAUUAGAGAGGAAAAUCUUUUCCGGAGGCCUCUGGUAGACUUCUCUAAAGUUUCCAUUGACUGGAAUUAACCAUGCCUUACUGGAAAAAGUAGAAGUUGACUUAGUCAAAUUUUGGUUCAACCUGUAAGACUCAGGAAGUAUCCCACUUCCCCAAUCAUGUUGCUGCUCUAUUCUUAAAUAAAAUCAAUGUUCUGUUAUCAAGGAGGAAGGUGAUAAUAGCUAUUGGAUAGGCCACAUAUGGAGUCUGUUGCACUGGGCAUAAUACUCAAUGGGAUAUCAGUAGACAUUUGUAGGGGCAUCCUCCUUGCACACAACCACCUUACUCUUCCAAGAGACCUAAAAGCAUUCUCUUUCUCUGGACUGUGUGAUAGAUGGCUCUGAUUUCUAAAACUGCUGCAGCCAGUACUGCUGCUGAAGGAAGUGCACCCGAAGACAAAGACAACACACAGUGUGGGGCAUGGUUAUAAGAACCACGGUGAAAAAAGAGAAGGAGCUUUGAUAUACAGUUAACUUCUGGAUCAAACUGUACUUAAAGCUAGUUAUAUCUCAGAAUAUCCAGUUAUAAAAGAAAAGCCAUUCUCUCUUUUUGCAAAGUCAUUUUAGGCUGGAUUUUCUGUUACACACAAUAAGACGAAUUUUUACAAUAAGAGAGUUGGGAAUUUGGGCAACUAGACUGCCCACUGUUUUUCAUCUUAAUGAGGAAUCUAAGCCUCAUUUUCAGUUAAAUAGUGUUGAGUAUGAUUGGUGAAUUUCUAAUAUGCUUUUUAUCUUUGUGGCAAGGAAAUCUUGUUUACUCCAGACAACUGGCAUGAUACUUCUCUAUUUGAAGAAGGCAGUGAGGACAAGCUGGCAGUAUUGCCUUAGAGACAGAUAACUUUCAAGUUCUGUAAGAAAUAUAAACAGAGCUCCUUCAAAAUCUUCUAUAUUUAGUAAAUAGAACAAUACUAUUUUUCAUUUUCUUCCCUGCCCAAAUAAUUCCUUCUAGAUAGUACUCAAAAUAAGGUGCCCUAUCAGAGAUUAAAUGAGGCAUUCAUAGCACAUACUUUUAAAUCCAUGAUCUCCUCUUCUUAGGACUGAAAAAUAAUGCCCUCAUUGUGAACACAAAUGUCAAUAUGUCUCAUAACCUCUAAUUUCAGCUCCAAGCAUCUUUGUCCUCUUCAAAUGACUGGCAACUUGAUAUUUUAUUUUCAGCUUUCUUUGACGAGCGAUUUGGUUUAAAAUAAGCAAAUAGGUAAGAAAAAACUGCCUAAAGCCUGCUUCCUCAAAAUAAGCAAUGCCCCUGUCCUCAGGGGCUGUCAGAUUUAUGUCCUUAGAUGAACAAUAAUUACAUUAAUAACUUUAAGAGCUAAUUAGCAUUUUAUAGUAAACACAUUGUUCAUCACACUAAGGGGAGAGACGGCUGUAUCCUUUCUGCAGAAUAAUUGCUUUUCAAAACCAGAACCCAUUUAUCUUACUUCAGCAAUACAUGCCACCAACUGACCAAGAAAUACUGUGCUGAUUCUUCCUGAGCCCCAGUCUUGUUAAUUCUUAAAAAAAAAUGCAGAAAUUCAAACAGGAAAAAAUGAAUUAACUUUAGUUUCUACUUGUGUGAACCCAAAAAAAGCAACCAAUAUCUUGUCAUCACUUUUUCACAUACUUUGCUUUUUCCAAGGUUUUUCCUGCUUAAUUUUCUAUGGUAUUUCUAACGUACAUGAAGUUUGAGACCACGCUUCCUCCCUCAAUCUCAAUGCAGUGCAGGCAAUUGCCAUGGUUACUUCUUUAUUGCAUCAAGUCCUGGAAAUACACUUUGAAUUCGCUUUAGAUUUUGCAAGCUCAAAGCUAACUGGGGAUAAAUCCAAGAAGACUUUUCAUCAGGAUAUUGACCCUUCUCUCCAGAAGCCCCCUUAAGGGGGUAUUCUCUGCCUGCAGCCACUUUCAGUACUUCCCUUAACCCAGAGUUGCAGCAACUCCAAAUCGACAGUCUUGUCAGAAUGAAUGAUCUAAAAUAAACAUCCACUUGUCUGUCUGCAUUACUAAUCUUGACAAGGAUCUUUUGCUUGUAUCAACUGUGAGCCAAUAGUCCUUAGAAGUACUUUGCUCGUUGUCUUGGUCCAGCAGCAGAUGGAGAGCAGAUAUAAGGCCUGGAAUCUGAUUUCAACUGGCUCAUGACAUUACAAUGAAAAUGAAAUUCAAAUGAAAUCAGCAAAAGAAACCUACCUGCUUUCUCCAUCUUGGCAGCCUUCUUAAUGUAGCAAUUAUCUCAUUUAAGCAAAACCCUUGGUCAGUCACAUCAGAACAUCCCCAGCAAUAACCAUUUUGUGUACAAAGACUAGAGACACAAUAAUAAAUCUCAAGGCCACCAUUUUGCAGGCUAGGUUUCCCUUCCAAUGUUUUCUUAGCUACUUAGUGAAUACUAAAACUUUGAUAUCUUUGGGAUUAAUAAUGGGAACUAUCGGAGUUCCCGGUCAUGGCUCAGUGGUUAACGAAUCCGACUAGGAACCAUGAGGUUGUGGGUUCAAUCCCUGGCCUUGCUCAGUGGGUUAAGGAUCUGGCGUUGCCAUGAGCUGUGUCCUCCUUUUCUGCCACCCUCAAGGCAUAUGGAAGUUCCCAGGCCAGGGAGUGAAUCCAAGCCAGAGCUGUGACCUACUCUACAGCUGCAGCAACGCUCGGUCCUUAUCCUGCUGCACUGGACAGGGGAUUGAGCUGGUGCCUCCACAGAGACAAGCAGGAUCUUUAACCCAUUGCUCCAUAGUGGGAACUCAGCAGAUACUUAAAUCAAUAGAUAACUCCUUCCAAAUUCCUCUGGGUCUGAUUUGAGGCCAGACUGCUUCCCCAUUAAAGGAGGCUACAGAGAUAGAGAAAGUAUUUCUUGGUUUAUGUCCAAUUUAUAUGGUACUUGGUUUAUUUAUAUUUAUAAAUAUUUGAUAGUAGAUUACACAGUAUUUAUCCUACUCUAUGGGUUCAGUCAUUCUCAACUAAUCUAAUGUUUUUGCUGUCUUUAUAAAGGGUCUAUAUUAAAAGAACCUCUUUAAAUAUUGCUAAAGUCACCUAAAUUGGGUGGGCAAAAAUGAUAAAUAAUUAAGAUGUACCCAGAGCAGAUAGACCUUUACAACACUUUCCAUUUUGCUUGCUUUGUGUAAAUACGUCCCCAGUGAUCUACAUCUCCAAAACUGUAAGAACACAAUUAAAUC